rnacentral:rRNA from 1 species
GGGUUGUGAGGUUAAGCGACUAAGCGUACACGGUGGAUGCCCUGGCAGUCAGAGGCGAUGAAGGGCGUGCUAAUCUGCGAUAAGCGCCGGUAAGGUGAUAUGAACCGUUAUAACCGGCGAUACCCGAAUGGGGAAACCCAGUGUGAUUCGUCACACUAUCAUUAACUGAAUCCAUAGGUUAAUGAGGCGAACCGGGGGAACUGAAACAUCUAAGUACCCCGAGGAAAAGAAAUCAACCGAGAUUCCCCCAGUAGCGGCGAGCGAACGGGGAGGAGCCCAGAGCCUGAAUCAGCAUGUGUGUUAGUGGAAGCGUCUGGAAAGGCGCGCGAUACAGGGUGACAGCCCCGUACACAAAAGCGUAUGUGCUGUGAGCUCGAUGAGUAGGGCGGGACACGUGGUAUCCUGUCUGAAUAUGGGGGGACCAUCCUCCAAGGCUAAAUACUCCUGACUGACCGAUAGUGAACCAGUACCGUGAGGGAAAGGCGAAAAGAACCCCGGCGAGGGGAGUGAAAAAGAACCUGAAACCGUGUACGUACAAGCAGUGGGAGCACCCUUUGGGGUGUGACUGCGUACCUUUUGUAUAAUGGGUCAGCGACUUAUAUUCUGUAGCAAGGUUAACCGAAUAGGGGAGCCGGAGGGAAACCGAGUCUUAAUUGGGCGUUAAGUUGCAGGGUAUAGACCCGAAACCCGGUGAUCUAGCCAUGGGCAGGUUGAAG